AAAACACCUGAUGCUCCCGGCACUGUCGAGUGAAACAGAUGGGCUUUUUCCAUUCAGACGCUGCCCCAUCCCCCAGCCAGUUUGCAUCCUGGCUCACUGUGGAGAGUGAAGGGAACUGGUUUUAAAUAGGACCAAAGGAACUCCACUCCAAGGAACUCUAAGGACUAGCCACUGGAAAAAGACAGCUUUAUGUCUGCACACAAGACGAGAGCCUCAGCCUUACGUGAGAUGGCUGGAGCAACAGCAGCAAAGGACAAGGAGAAAGUGUGCAGCAGCGUCAGUUUUACAGGUGUGACACCAUGAAGUUGUCCCACAUUUUCCACUGGCUGAAUUUGGGAACAUGGUCGACUGUGAGAUUUUGAAAACUGAUUUUCAUCCGUUUCUGCUUUAUCCUCAUUGCUUUGCCCACUGGGAGGUGCUAAAGAGCUACAUGUUGGAGGCACGUCCGGGCCAUCUUCCCAGAGUUUCCGAGGAUUUGGUUGUGUUCUGAAGCUGCUUGUGGAGCUGUCUGUCUGUCGCUCUCUCCCACUGAAUCUCGUAGUCUCGGUUCUGGAUGCGCAUCUGAAUUCCUCUGCCAGCACGCCUGCUGCUGCGUCUGGAUUGCCAGCUCCAUCUCCAGCAUCAUAAUCUGAAAACCCCCAGACCAGACAAUCAGGCAUCUUGCAUGUAAAUAACUCAGAACUUUAAUUAGUAGGACAAAGUUAUGAAAUAAGUCUUCUACGGAUUUUGAUGCUUCAUGGAAACACAGGCCUGCUCUAGACCCCUGGUGCCUUUCCACACUUGCCCCCUGCUGGGCUUGCUCCUGGUGAACUCCACACCCAGGCCAGUUGAAAAAUUCUCCCCAAAACAAGACACCCGAACCAGCAAAUAACAUAGAUCCUCACAUGGAACUAAAGCAGACACUAAGUUGGCUACAGACUGCUGCAACCAUGAGUCACCAGAGGUUUUUAAAAUUCCUGCUGCCCAGGUCACCACGUUUGGGGAGGAAGCAAGCAUCUUACUUUUUAAAGACCGCAAUGAAGAGCAGAGAUGGGCACUCCAGAGCACACUGAUUCUUCACAACAGAGAGUUUCCUGCUUUUAAAGUUGUAUAAUGAACAAAGUAAACAGACUAGGGAGAGAUUAGUUUGCCCAAGGUCAUAUAGCUAAUAAAAAAAAAGUUGGGGUUCUAACCCAGAUCUUCUGACUCUGGUACCCUUACAUACAUUUUUAUAGUGAUUCAAAUUGAUACAGGGAUUGUUCUGAAUAUUUAAACUUAAGUGAGUGAGUGGAGACUGUCGAUAUAAACUGAUUUAAAAUGUAUUAUUUGGAGAGACAGACCAAGCGCUCCGAGUUCUCUAGUAUGUUCCUCAAAUGCCAGCAAUGGUCAGCACUGGAUCAGGUUAAAGCCAGGAGCCAAGAAAUCAGUCCAGCUCUCCCAUGAGUGUGGCGAUUACUUGAUCCAUCAUCUGGUGCCUCUUAGGGUUUGCAUUGACAGGAAGCUGGAGUCAGGAGGUGGAGCCAGGUAUUGAGCCUAGAAUUCCAACGUGGGUUGCAGAUCUACUAACAUGUCUUAACUGCUAGGUUAAAUGCCUGUCUCCCUAAACUGAUUUUAUUCUUUUUUUUUUUUUUAAAGAUUUGAUUUAUUUAUUUGAGAGCUAGAGUUACAGUGAGAGGGAGAGACGGAGAGUGGUCUUCCUUCUGUUGGUUCACUCCCCAAAUGGCCGCAACGAUCCGAAGUCAGGAGCCAGGAGAUUCCUCUUGGUCUCCCAUGUGGGUGCAGGGUCCCAAGGACUUGGGCCAUCUUCCACUGUUUUCCCAGGCCAUAGCAGAGCACAGGAUUGGAAGAGGGGCAGCCAGGACUAGAACUGGCACCCAUAUGGGAUGCCAGUGCCACACACAGGCAGAGGAUUAACCUACUGCACCACAGCACCAGCGCCCUUGAUUUUAUUCUUACAAAGUAGUUUAGAAAGCAUCCUCGAAAGUGUGGAGAAAAUAUGAAAGGAAUUAUGCAAAAACCUAAGUAUGGUUAUGGGAGGCUUGUUUGCUGCUUUUUUCCCAUAUUUAAAAAUGUAAUGAGUAUAUAAAGGGUCUUCAAAAAGUUCAUAA